UCCAAAGCCUCCAAGAAAAAAAGAGUUGGUCUCAGGCCAUGGAAGAGCUCAACAAGGACUUUGAAAAGAGAUAGAAGGAAAAUUGGGAACAGAGAAAGAUCUUUGAUGGACUACAGGGUUUCCAUUGGAGAGGGUCUCAUUAUGCACAGCUACACUGGGAAGGGGCUCAAACUUCGAAUGCACCCUGCUGCACUUUGCUAACAAGGAAAAGAGCAAGAUGUGGAAAAUAAGCCAGAAUGCCAAGUGGGUAGCAGGUAGCAAGAAGAUGCUGAGGUGAAGCAUGAUGGAGAAUCUGAGACUAGUUAGGUGGAGUCAACUCUCACCAAUUGGUAAAGAACUGCUCCAGGAAAAGAGGUUUCUCAAACAGCCCCUCGCUGGAAGAACUGUCAAAGAGAAUCUUUCUUCUUCAUUCUGGCUGAACUCUUGGGAAUCUUAGCUCAGUCCAGAUGGUGAACCUCAGCUGCUCUAUGAAACAGGAAUCCUCCACCUCAAUCACACUGUCAGAAAGAAAAUUAAUUUCAAAUAACAGCAUUUGCUUAACAAGAGAUAAGAAUGGACAAGACAUAAUAAAAAAAAGUUAAUAUGAAAUCAAGAUACAACAUAGGCAAAAGGAUGAUAAAAAAAACAUGUUCAGAAGUAUAUGAAAUGAUUUCCCCAAGAAGUUGUUUUGCAUAAUUGAUAGAACUUUGAACUUAUGGACAAGAAAAACUGCUGUCCCUGAUACUUAUUAGUUUUACACAUCUGGGUGAGUGAACUCAGGACAAGGUCUAUAAUGACAUUUUUAGCUGAAUUUCCAAAUCUUGGUGAUAUGAUUGUCCUCGAAUGACAAGGCACAAUUUGCAAAUGUCCUGUGGUGGGAAUGUGCUGUGUGGCUUCAUCCUGGCAAUUUGAUUCAGCCAAUUAAACAGCCCCUGAUGAGAAACCCUAGGACAGGAAGCCCUGCCAGAACCAUGCCCACCAAUUCUAUAGUUUGCAAUAUUUUCCCCCAAAGGCUCUGUGCAAUUGCUUUUAUAUUGAUCAUUUGAGGCAUGGCCACAGGAAACUGGUUUGAAAACUGAAAUGUCAGAUCAUUUUCCUGAAAACAUACCAGCUUUUUCCUGAUUAAAACACUGUAAGAAAGUAUUUCUUGUAUUAGUACAAAUCCCCCGAGGUAUCUCUUAUUCUAAAUAAUAGGCCUUUUUUAACUACUUGCCUAAAGAUAUCACACUGGUAAUCGGUGGUAAGGAGUGAAUGUACUAGCAUAGCAAGCUAUCAGCCCACCAUCCCCAAACAUGGUCAGCCUAAUAAAUAGGGAUUUUGGUAAUUCCUUCCAUGACUCUCUUGAAUUCUUCUUGGUCUAGUUUAAUCUCUCUGUCUCUUGAUUGGUUAAUUAAGAAACUGAAGAUAAA
rnacentral:lncRNA from 1 species